rnacentral:rRNA from 1 species
AUUGAACGCUGGCGGCAUGCCUUACACACGCAAGUCGAACGGCAGCACGGGAGCAAUCCUGGUGGCGAGUGGCGAACGGGCGAGUAAUAUAUCGGAACGUGCCCAGUCGUGGGGGAUAACGCAGCGAAAGCUGUGCUAAUACCGCAUACGAUCUACGGAUGAAAGCGGGGGAUCGCAAGACCUCGCGCGAUUGGAGCGGCCGAUAUCAGAUUAGCUAGUUGGUGAGGUAAAGGCUCACCAAGGCGACGAUCUGUAGCUGGUCUGAGAGGACGACCAGCCACACUGGAACUGAGACACGGUCCAGACUCCUACGGGAGGCAGCAGUGGGGAAUUUUGGACAAUGGGCGAAAGCCUGAUCCAGCAAUGCCGCGUGCAGGAUGAAGGCCUUCGGGUUGUAAACUGCUUUUGUACGGAACGAAACGGUGAGCUCUAAUACAGUUUGCUAAUGACGGUACCGUAAGAAUAAGCACCGGCUAACUACGUGCCAGCAGCCGCCGUAA